rnacentral:tRNA from 1 species
GUGCCGCCUGGGAUGGCCGGUUUCGCCUGCUGGGGCCGGGCCGGCGGGGCUGGUCGAUCGGCGCGGUCGGCGACGCG